UACAGAGGGUGCAAGCGUUAAUCGGAAUUACUGGGCGUAAAGCGUGCGUAGACGGUUGCGUAAGUCAGAUGUGAAAGCCCCGGGCUCAACCUGGGAAUUGCAUUUGAGACUGCGUAGCUAGGGUGCGGAAGGGGGAAGCGGAAUUUCCGGUGUAGCGGUGAAAUGCGUAGAGAUCGGGAGGAACAUCUGUGGCGAAGGCGGCCAUCUGGACCAGCACUGACACUGAGGCACGAAAGCGUGGGGAGCAAACAGG
rnacentral:rRNA from 1 species